UACGGGGGGAGCAAGCGUUGUUCGGAUUUACUGGGCGUAAAGGGCGCGUAGGCGGUCAGCACAAGUCAGUUGUGAAAUCUCCGGGCUUAACUCGGAAAGGUCAACUGAUACUGUGCGACUAGAGUGCAGAAGGGGCAACUGGAAUUCUCGGUGUAGCGGUGAAAUGCGUAGAUAUCGAGAGGAACACCUGCGGCGAAGGCGGGUUGCUGGGUUGACACUGACGCUGAUGCGCGAAAGCCAGGGGAGCGAACGGG
rnacentral:rRNA from 1 species